rnacentral:rRNA from 1 species
CCUACGGGAGGCAGCAGUGAGGAAUAUUGGUCAAUGGACGAGAGUCUGAACCAGCCAAGUAGCGUGAAGGAUGACUGCCCUAUGGGUUGUAAACUUCUUUUAUAUGGGAAUAAAAUGUUCCACGUGUGGGAUUUUGUAUGUACCAUAUGAAUAAGGAUCGGCUAACUCCGUGCCAGCAGCCGCGGUAAUACGGAGGAUCCGAGCGUUAUACGGAUUUAUUGGGUUUAGAGGGAGCGUAGGUGGAUUGUUAAGUCAGUUGUGAAAGUUUGCGGCUCAACCGUAAAAUUGCAGUUGAAACUGGCAGUCUUGAGUACAGUAGAGGUGGGCGGAAUUCGUGGUGUAGCGGUGAAAUGCUUAGAUAUCACGAAGAACUCCGAUUGCGAAGGCAGUUCACUGGACUGCAACUGACACUGAGGCUCGAAAGUGUGGGUAUCAAACAGGAUUAGAUACCCUAGUAGUC